GAUAGCAACCCUCACAUUUGGCACAGCAGUGAUUAUCACUUAGCUGGGGAUUAGGCACUGGCUGUUCCACUUGAGAAUACUGCUCUGCCACGCUCAGUCUGGCUGUCUUCCUGCAGGACUAAGCAGUGCCUUCUGAAAACAGGUGCUGCAGGCAAUUUCUGCUUGUGAGCUGUGGGAACUUUCCUAGCUUUGUGUAAUGAUUCAGUGCAUUUGUUCACUGUCAUUUUUCACUCCAGGGUGUUGGUUUUCUCUCUUCUGGGCAGAUUUUGCUUUCAAACGAAACUAGUGGGAAACAUGUUUUGGGAAAAGAACCACUAAUGAGCUGUAACCUUGGUACUAUGGCUGAAAGGAUGCUCCUGGGUCAUAACCUUGGCAUCUUGUUACAGAAGUUCAGAAGUAGCUCCCAUAUGAUGUUGGUCGUAAAUCUAUCAAGUUCUGAUUUAAAGUCAUAUUCUUUGUCCUUAUUCCUCUUGUUAGAUAUUUUAAAACAGUAUGAAAGGGGCAGAGAGCCUUCAAAGAUUGCAGUUAAAUACCUAUGAUAAAUUUACGAUGAAGAAUUCACUAACUUUGUUCACAAUCAAUUGUUCUUUUCCCCUUCUUUGCUUGGCCUUUCAGUAUAUGAUGAGGGACCAAUUGUAUCUCACCCUGGGCUUCUCUGGUGAAAAACAUCCAGUCCCAAGGUUUUGGCCUUCCUUAGGGAGAACAGAGGUGCAGGGAAUGCUGAACUGAUCCAUUUGAGGCUGAGAUGAAGCAGCUUUUCCUCAUCCUGUAGCACAGACUUGAAGUUUACAACAGAGAGGUUGUUUCUUCCAAGGUGGAGAAGGAAGGCUUGGCUCAUUGAAGGGUUUCCAUCAAAGUGCUGUCCCUCCUCAGUGUCUCUGUCUUACUCUCCUGCCCUACAGCUUGCAUGUGAUCUCACAUGCAUUGUACUUUUCUGAGCCAAUGCAAAAUGGUCCUCAUGAGCUGUAAUGCUCACCCAGCUAUGGCUGAGGCACAGCAUGUGUGCUGUGGGACCUUCAGGUGGCCCCAAGUCUCAGCAAGGAUUUGGGCAGCGUGGAGGGGGAGAUGGCUUCACAAGCACUUACACCAGCUCUGGUUCCUGAAUGCUUGUAUGUGACUGGCUUCUCUCAGCACAUAUUGCAUGCCUCCACAGUAGUUUGCAAGUCUGUGCAAGCAUAUGGUUCUUCUUAAUGCCUGUUGCAAGGAUGAAGAGUGUGGCUUGCCAGCAUUCAAGGUGCAGGAGUUGUGUGUGCCUGCAUUGUGCUCAUAAAAAGCUUGGGCUGUGAUAAUGGUACCUGGACGUUAUCAGAGCAUACAAUUACAGGAUAAGGGGGGUAAUCUCUUCCCUUCUGCCACCUUGCAGCACUUAUCGCAGCUCAGAUGGUGUUAAGAUGAGUAAGAUCUGACCUGGCAGCACAUGCAGUGAGAAUCUGCAAUGUUAGGAGUCUGCCGUUCCCAGAAAUGUGCAUUGCACGGUGAUGAUUAGGUUGGUCUAAAAACUCCAGCUUAAAAUUGAGCUUUGUUUAGACAUUGCCAUCGGUGUUCUUCUAGAAUUUUUCACUCACUCAAAGAUGGAUUAUUCACCCAGUAAUGAAAGAUGGGCAUGAAGGGAGGUCGGGAUGUUGGUGUGGAAACCACCAGGAGAUGUGAUACUUGUGUCCCUCAGCCUCAAUGCUCACAAAUGUUAUGCUUUUUCUACCCUAGAGGCAGAAGUUUUCCUGCUUACAGAGUGUAUUCAAAAAAAAGGGAAUGGAAUUGGAAUGCUAAGCAAUGCAUUAUUGGUGACACGGUGAGCAAAUAGGUUAUCAAUUUCUAAUGCACUCUCAGCAGCGCUGUACAAAAGCUGUGCAAAUUUGCUUUCUGUGUCGGCCAAAGGCAUCGUUGUACCAUGUGGGUGCAAUGAUUGGAGAGAACAGUUUGUAGUAGUUCACUAAACGAAGUUUAAGCCACUAUAUCUAAAUUAGGCGUUUGCCUUUGACAUCUUAUUAUUUCAUAAUUGUAACUACGAGGCUUUUCAGAGUGGGUAAUUGCUUUUUUUCCCCAAAGCUGCAUUAGUCUUCAAGGGCAAGUGAUGGUGAAAUAGAAGCCUGAGUGCCUGAAGUUGUAAAAUAAAGAGAAUCAAGCAUGAGCUAAGAGUAUAAUUCACAUAGAAACUCCCCUUCAGCUGCCGGGUCCCUCAUCUCAGAGCUGGUGGAAAAUGCUGCAGAGGAAUGGGUAGAACCCUGAAGAAAACUCAGGACAGUUUCAUGGUGUUGGGGAUCUAGGGGCAUUCAGCAUCAGCUGUGCAUCCAGGAGAUUGCUGACUUCUUCCCAAGGAGCUGAAAUCUCAUUCUUCUCUGUUUUAACGAAGCUUGCUGAUGCCCUUUUCUCUCAUUUGGUAAUCGGCUGAAGUUCCUGGGAAAGGAACAGGAAAUGAGUGGAAGGAUCAGAGGCAGCAGAAAGGUGUGAGCUGGGCGACUUGCUGCUGAAAUAGGUGAAGGAGAAGGGUGAACCAGCCCUUCUGCAUUUCCCCUGCAGAAAGCAUUAAAGUGCAUACCUAAAAGAGGUUUCUAAAAGUUCAAGAGGUGAGGAGAAGCAAUGGAAUGGAAAUCUCAUAGUGAUGGACCCUCACUGUGACAUUUUGAUGCUCUCUGGAGAGAAAUAUGGGCAUUUUGCUUCUCCCACCUUUGAGCUGAAGUAGUACACCAGCUGAAGUCCUUCACUCUUCUGUAUUUGAAAGGGUUUCAUUUUUGAUAAAGGUUCAGUGUUACAAAGAGAUACCAAAUCUUCAUGUGCCCUGUGCUUCAGCAAAGUACCGAUAACAGCAAUAAACCCCCUAACGUGAGAUGUUCUGGGGUUAUCUCUGAGGAAGGCUCCUCUUCAUUUGGCUGCCAAUUGCAAAUGAACCUAGUUAUAAAAUUUCUCUUUAUUGCCACCUUUCCAUAUCCCUGAGGUUAAUUCUGAAAUAUGCAUGAAAUGUAAUUAGUGCAGAUCCAUUUCUGCCAGCACGUUUUACACAAGUGGCUCCCGGUGGCAG
ensembl:lncRNA